AUUGAACGCUGGCGGCAGGCCUAACACAUGCAAGUCGAACGAGUGGCGGACGGGUGAGCAAUGUCUGGGAAACUGCCUGAUGGAGGGGGAUAACUACUGGAAACGGUAGCUAAUACCGCAUACCAUCAGAUGUGCCCAUGUGGGAUUAGCUAGUGGGUGGGGUAAUGGCUCACCAAGGCGACGAUCCCUAGCUGGUCUGAGAGGAUGACCAGCCACACUGGAACGGAGACACGGUCCAGACUCCUACGGGAGGCAGCAGUGGGGAAUAGUGCACAAUGGGCGAAAGCCUGAUGCAGCCAUGCCGCGUGUGUGAAGAAGGCCUUCGGAUUGUAAAGCACUUUCAGCGAGGAGGCGUUACUCACAGAAGAAGCACCGGCUAACUCCGUGCCAGCAGCCGCGGUAAUAC
rnacentral:rRNA from 1 species